CGACCGGCGCACGGGUGAGUAACACGUAUGCAACCUGGCCGUGACAGAUGGAUAACCGGGAGAAAUCCCGCCUAAUACAGCAUGACGCCGCGGGAGGACAUCCUCCCGCGGCCAAAGGGGCGACCCGGUCACGGAUGGGCAUGCGGCGCAUUAGGUAGUUGGUGGGGCAACGGCCCACCAAGCCGACGAUGCGUAGGGGUUCUGAGAGGAAGGUCCCCCACAUUGGAACUGAGACACGGUCCAAACUCCUACGGAAGGCAGCAG
rnacentral:rRNA from 1 species